CAUGCCUAAACCCUUGGAACUGAAACGAAAUGGAUCCAAGACGAAGCAGCUAUAUCAGGUGACUUCUUACUCAAUGAUUUAUGUUUCGCUCACAUGUUUCAUCUUUGUCCGGAUCAUCUUCUUUCAGUUUUUUCUGUCCAUGCAUCAGCCUUUGUACAUCAAAUCAGUAAUAUCAUCACUGCUCAGGAGAUCGAUAUUGUCAAGUGCCGUACCCAAGAUCGCGCUGGAUCGCAUUGAGGACGAUCGUAAGAGUGGAUGCCAUGCUUCGCCAUUCUGCCGCCAUCCUAGUGCACCCGAGCAGAGGACUCUUUUUUGGGAAGAUCCAGUGUACACGUUGUUCAACGAGGUCUGAGAACCCAGCCGAAAUGAUUGAUCGAAAGAAAAAAUAGGACCUAUUGAAGUUUUCGUGGACAGACUCUGGAAAAAAAAUGGAGGAGCUUUUUCUCUACUCUGACUACCUCAAAGAAGCGAGAGUUUUGAGUUAAAUACCAGCAGUUCGAUUUUAUUCGAACUUAAAGUUUGUAAGCCAUCCACAUAUAUAGAUUCAACAACCAGCAGUGUCCCAAAAUAUUUUUCUUGAAUUUUUAUUUCCUCCA
rnacentral:lncRNA from 1 species